UACGGAGGGGGCUAGCGUUGUUCGGAAUUACUGGGCGUAAAGCGCACGUAGGCGGCUUUUUAAGUUAGAGGUGAAAUCCUGGAGCUCAACUCCAGAAUUGCCUUUAAGACUGGAUCGCUUGAAUCCAGGAGAGGUGAGUGGAAUUCCGAGUGUAGAGGUGAAAUUCGUAGAUAUUCGGAGGAACACCAGUAGCGAAGGCGGCUCACUGGACUGAUAUUGACGCUGAGGUGCGAAAGCGUGGGGAGCAAACAGG
rnacentral:rRNA from 1 species